ACUUUCAACAAUGGAUCUCUUGGCUCUGGCAUCGAUGAAGAACGCAGC
rnacentral:rRNA from 1 species